GGUCACCCCCCCCCACCACCCCCCACUGUCAGCCCUCUCUCACCUCACCCCUUGGCCAGCCAAUGGCCUUUGCACCCUGUCGCAUCAACCUGCCCCCCACCACCACAACCACCACAGUGUGCAACUUCAGACUCUGUGGACCUUUGAGACCCAUAGGCAACGCUGCAGGCCUUUAACUCCAGCUGUACCGGCAUCAUCCGCCCCAGCCCACCCUGUCUAAACACACUGACCUCUGGACCCCGUCCGCAGGCAGAAUGCUUCAUUUAGCUGUCAUUCUGACCAGGUCAAAUUUGUCAACUUCUUUUUUUUUUUUUAGAAAUAACCAUUUAUAUGUCGGCCAAUGUGAUUAACUGUGACAACCGUUUUGGAUUGCUCUGAUUCUCAAAGUUAAUCAAUCAUAUAAAUACAAUACAAAUAUUAACUUAUCAACAUGAACGUGAAUAAAUCAUUCUGAUUGAUAUCAAAUAAUUUCCUGCAUCACGUGUCCAAGCGUGGCUGAAUUAAAUCCAAGCUCAGCACUUCAGGGUUCACUGCUCCUCCUCUCCGUGCACACAUCUCCUCAAAGCGUUUCACGUCUUCACGUCGCAGAACCGGGGUGUCCUACAUUCCAAGUUGUAACAUAAAACAAAGAGGUUCAAACACACGUACACAAAUGCUCAAAUGCGUACACACAAACACAAACCCCUAAUUAAUUUAACUAUAAUUUCAUAAAUUUGUCUGUCCUCCGUCUCCCUCACCCAAAUGUUCAGAGGAACCACGAUUAGCGCUGAAUGGUGGGCUUUGAGAGCGACUGGCCAGCAGCCAUAUGAGGAGACCUCGUCUCUCCGGGAGCCACGAAGCCAAGAGGUCAGUAGGUUCAUCAUCCUGACAAGCCACCAGCUCACACAGCCGUGUGCGGGGGUGGUGGGGGGGGGGGUGUAGGUAGAGACGCAAUCAGCCACAGAUAAGAGGAUGAUAAUGCACACAUGUACUGGUGCAAACAGAGGAUUAUUCUGUGCACACAGAGCAGCAUUAUACCGUUACCGUCGUGAUGUAAAUAUGUUCUUCACAUGAAAAAGAAACAUUGUCGGAGUUGAAUCUGAACUAGUGAAUUUCUUUUACAGAUCUUCAUGAUAUUGUAAAUAGCUGAACAAAAAAAAAGAAGAAAAAAACUAAUCAAAUAAGUCACUGCUUCAGGUUGUUUUGAGAUGCUCUGACACGUUUGAGAAUAAAAUGCUCAUAAUGUUUGUUGUGGUGUAAUGUGAGACAGGAACACCGGGGCCCAGACUGUUAGACAGGUUUCUCCACUGUCUGACAUUUACUGCACAUAUCCACUUUCACCUGUACAGACUGCACAUAUUUAGUUCUUUGUAUUUUUAGCCACAAACUUUCUGUUAACACGAAUGAACAAUUUCCAUCAGUUGAAGCUGGCUAUAUUGGCUUUAAUAUUUGUAAUAGUUAUAGUUUGAUAAUGUUGCCGUGAGCACAGAAAAUAAAUGUGUACCGUACUGAAUGGGAGCUUUAACACUACAUCUCAGUGUUUGUCCUCUGCAUUGGCUGGAUCAGAUUCAACUCCUACCACACAGACCGCAAAGAAAUGUGGCUUCAUUGUUAGGAAAAAAAGCAUCAGAAGUCAGCUGUCAUCCCCUUCAGAGUAAAAAGCUUUUACCCUUAGACACAGAACAGUUGUCAGCUUAGCCUCACCAUACAUUCUGCUCUAAUCCACCAUGGGGACAAAUGGUAAACUGGUCUUCUAUAAAAACCUAAAUUUAAGCUAUAAAACAAAAAAAGAAACAUUAAUCCAGAUAUUUCUGGAACCAAAUAUCAGUAUAUAUUCAAGUCUUUUUCAGCUCUUUGAUUCAUCAAACAUUGAAAAUAUUCAUCCAAAGCAACAAUUGGUCAUGAAAAGCAUCCUAUCCAGUUAAUAAUCCCUAAAUCCCAGUGGAUUUGACCAGAAUCAGUCCCAACUGUCAUAUUUCACCUCCGUCUAACCUCAUGAUUAUUUCUUGGAGAAAGAGCAGAGGAUGGCUGGGAAAUGACUCAGGGUGUGUGGAUCUUGGACUGGGCUUAUACGGGAUCUCGACUGCAUCUUCCAAACCGUCAGUGAGAGGGGGCUUGUGGGAAAUAUGAGACAAAGCGGCAGGGCGAUGGACAGAAAGAAUGAUGCAGUGAAGGGAGGACUGUGACGGACUGCGUGUGCAUGCCUGCGUGAUGUGUGUGUGUGUGUGUGUAUAAAGCUUUGUGGCGGGUGGCUGUGAGGUUUGAGGAAAGGGUGUUGGCUGGGCCCCAUGCAGACUUCCUUGCUCGGCCGUGGGGUCGACAGCAUCUCUGAAAGGCAGCAUUGUCCCUCUGUGGGCCCUCUCUUCAAUCUCCAGCAGAAUAAACACUGACUACAGCAGCUAAACGGGUGGGAGGGAGGACUGCAGGGGCCGCAGCGAGGAUAUAUGAGGGGGAUGAGGAAGUUGAGGAGGAAGAUUCCUCAAAGAGAGUCUUGUAUGUGUCCUUUUUAUCCACCUGUAUUAACCUUUUCUGUUUAAUUUGUCGAUCCAAAGUUUUUGAUGAGGUUACUGGGUGCUUUUGAGGGCAAGUUUGGGUCAAAAUUGGGGCAUGUGGGAUGGUAAAAGAAAGAGGAUGUGCAGAUGGGCAUCAGGUCAAAAGGAGGGCUACAUGUUUCAACACCCAUGGAUCAGUGUUUGACCCAGUUCUGACUGCUUGAUCUUCUGCCUGAUCUGAUCUGAGGAGAUAUGUACGCAGAGGAUCACGUUUCUGCUCAGUCUGACGCUGCAGACUGAGCAGAAACAAGAUCCAAUAAACAGCAUUGAAAAUCUAACCAUAAAGCAUAAGAUGAUUAUGUUUCAGGGUAUAAAAUCAUAUUGUGUAAUAUUUUGUUUUCCGUGAGUCUUUUACAGGCUGAAAGAAUGUGUAUGAGUACACAUUUUAUGACCCCCUCUGUGGUUGGCUGUAACUUAAUCUCCCUCCUGCUGUGACCCUGGGAGGUGGUCCGUAGGAGGUAAACCAUCUCUCCCCGAGGCGUUUCACUCUCUCUUUUUUUCCCCAUUUCCACACAAAGGCAACAAGACUGAGAUAACAGCGCUGUAAAAACAUAGCCUCUCUGAUUGAUUUCCCACUCUAAGUACCACUAAAGUAGUAUGCUUUUACGUAAAACAAAUAUUUGCAGCUGUAAGGAGAUGUAAUAAUCUUUCCAGACCAAGAGAUUUGACAGAUUAUGUCAGAGAUAUUUAGUUAUUUACUAUCAUCUGUUGCUGGACUAGGCUCUGUAACAGCCUUCACAAUCAGGUUUGACCAUGACAUUUAAUAAAUCUGCAAAACUGUGUGAAUUGGGAAGAAAAAAUAUAGAAUGAAAUUGCUUUUAAAUAAUUUAACAUGUGUGCAAUAUAAAUAUUAAUAUUGGACAAAUGACAAAAGGGUUUUAGAGAUGCAUUCAUUUUAACACAUUAUUAGAAUUUUUUCAAAACAAAAUAGUAAGUGGGACUUUUAACACUUUAAUUACAACUGUUCUUUUAAGCAACCUAAAGUAAAACUUUCCAAAAGAAAUGGCUAAUUAAUUCAAAUAGAUACUAAAAUAAAGAGUUUCGUAGAAAAAGUGUAAAAAAUUGUUCUUAAUGUUAAUGUAAUUUAAAGGGUUAACAGUGAUGCUUAAAAAGACCCAGUAUUCAGACCUGUUGGUCCAAAAGGUGAGAAGGCCGGGGUCAAAGUAAGAUGUAGGUGUGCUGUGACCUCUGAACUUUGACAGCUGCAUUCUACAUCAGCAGCUCAGGCCAAACCUAAAUAAACUGAGUUAGCCUUUUCUGAUUCACAUUUACCUGUUAACAAGAGCUGUCUAAUCAGUGCUCAGAUUAGAUGAAACUUUCACCUUUUCCUUGAUGCAUUUUGUUUUCGUGUUUAAAGAAGGUACAGCUCACAUUGGCCUGGCCCUGCUGCAGCGAAGAGUAACACGCCGAAGCUGAUGCCCAACAAACAGGUGAAACCGCGCGUCUGCUGAGCUCUGCUGCUGAGGGGCCUGGGCUGCCGCCAUCGGACCUGGGAGCUGCUGAUACCAGGCCUGGGCUGGAGAUGAUGCAAACUGAAUUUGUAAAAAUACUAAAUUGGUUUCAACUUAACAAAUUUUCAUUAAACGUGAUAUUUAGUAGUAAUAAGAGAAUUGUCAAUGUUCCAUUCAGAAUUGAUGGUGUUGAGAUUUGUAGAGUCAGUGAGCUAAAGUUUUUGGGUGUCAUUUUUGAUGAAAAGCUGAUAUGGAGACCUCACACAAAUUAUUUAAGGAUAAAAAUGCCUACCAUAAAUCUACUGUGUAAAGUAAGGGAGUUAUUCAAUAAUAAAGCUCUGUAUAUGUUGUAUAAUGCAAUAGUUCUCAUGUAGCGUAAUAUUUCUGGGUAUUUCCAGCCAAAACUUCCACGUUGGAAGGCGGAACUCACAUUAGAUGUGGUUGAGUUUGAUUGUCAAGGAGAAAAAAAAUUUUCAAAGCUGACAAUGGUCAUUUUAUGAUUCCAUGUCAGGUGGAAAGAUGUUCCAAAAGAUCGGCAUAGAGCGCAGUUUUCACAACGAACGUCGGCGAGUCUGGGCUUGGACACAUCAACCGCAAAUUUCAGCGAUGACAACAUCAAGAAUCUGCUCCGGUCACUUUUAUUCCGAUACUGCAGAGGGCUCCUUCCUAUCUGUCAAAAAUGGGUGACACCAAAUCACCAACCAUGUGGAAGAACAAUAAAAAGCUCCACCCUGCAGUUUUCAUCUUCUGCAGCUCCAUCCAACAGAGAGACGAGCAGCGAAUGAGAGCAGAGAGGCAGAUGCAAACAGACAGAUGGAGGACGCCUGAGAUGGCAGCAGACAUAGUUGAGCUAUAAUGCUGUAUAAUAUAGCCAGGCUAAACUCUUGAUUUAAAUUUGUUGACAAGCGCUGUUUGCGCAGUCUGAUAGAAACAGGAACGUGAACAACUUAGAGCCAAUUUCUGACUGAAAUUGGUGAAACUUUGUUCUUAUUUUCAUUUGACUGAAUCUUAAAGGACUCCAAAGUUGUUUUUAUAAAUUGACAUACAGUAAAUGUGGAAAGAUAAUGAACGAUUAAUACG